CCCGAGGCCCCGACGGCGGCGCCGGCGAGGGCCACCCGAAUCUCGCGGCCGCACACCACCGGCAUGUCGGGCACACCGCGGCGGCGCGGGCGCACCGCAGUGCUGCUCGCGCCCGCAGCUCCCGGCGUCCCACCACCAGCUGCUUUUUUCCUCCGUCAGCGGCGAUGGCAUGGCGAUGCGAUGCUUCCCCGAGGCCAGGAUGUGAGACGGAGAUGCGGAGGCUGGCGCUCCCCCUGCCGACUCCCGUUCGCCGGCGAGGUCGCCGCCGCGUCCUCUUCGUUGCCUGGCUCGCCCGUGUGCAGGGGAUUCAGCUGCAUUGGCCGGUAAGGCCCGGAUGCAUGGAUACUAUUUAUGCUGCAGUUUCACCUUAUGCAUGAUGCAAUAGAAAUUUGGGAAGUGAGAUGUCUGCCAAGAAGUAGAGGCAAAGGGAACAGGUACUCAGCGGCAACUGUUACCUCCUGUUAAUAUCUGAAACAUCUUUGGAAAAAUGAAUCCCAGUUGGUCUUGAUAGACUUCAUAAUUUUGAAUUUGUUAGUUCA